rnacentral:lncRNA from 1 species
AAUUAAAGGAUGUUACCUCUACUGCUCAAGCAGCGGCUGAGUUUGCAGAACAUGCAACCCUAGCUGCGAGAGCUGUUCUAGGACUUUCAAGUCAAUAUUGUGUUGAUGAUGGUGGUUCAUGCCACUUAGGUUUCAAGGAUGAAAGGUUGGAACAUGGGGAAUCAUUUCCUGGAGAUGGUAAUGGUAAUUUUUCUGUUGGCAGGGAGAGUUGGAACAUAAAAUUUAAGGAUGCUACCUCUGCUGCUCAAGCAGCGGCUGACUUUGCAGAUCAUACAAGCCUAGCUGCCAGAGCUGUUGUAGAACUUUCAAGGCAAUAUUGUGUUGAUGAUGGUGGUUCAUGCCACUUAGGUUUCAAGGAUGAAAGGUUGGAACAUGGGCAAUCAUUUUCAGGAGAUGGUAAUGGUAAUUUUUCUGUUGGCAGGCAGAAUUGGAACAU